rnacentral:rRNA from 1 species
GAUGAACGCUGGUGGCGUGCCUAAUACAUGCAAGUCGAGCGAACAGACGAGGAGCUUGCUCCUCUGACGUUAGCGGUGGACGGGUGAGUAACACGUGGAUAACCUACCUAUAAGACUGGGAUAACUUCGGGAAACCGGAGCUAAUACCGGAUAACAUGUUGAACCGCAUGGUUCAACAGUGAAAGACGGUCUUGCUGUCACUUAUAGAUGGAUCCGCGCCGCAUUAGCUAGUUGGUAAGGUAACGGCUUACCAAGGCAACGAUGCGUAGCCGACCUGAGAGGGUGAUCGGCCACACUGGAACUGAGACACGGGCCAGACUCCUACGGGAGGCAGCAGUAGGGAAUCUUCCGCAAUGGGCGAAAGCCUGACGGAGCAACGCCGCGUGAGUGAAGAAGGUCUUCGGAUCGUAAAACUCUGUUAUUAGGGAAGAACAAAUGUGUAAGUAACUAUGCACGUCUUGACGGUACCUAAUCAGAAAGCCACGGCUAACUACGUGCCAGCCGCCGCGGUAA